CUGGCAGUACAAACAACACCGCUUCUGGCGGGCCCACUGCUGAAGUGAGUUCAUAUGAACACUUGAUGGACUUUUAUGAACGACUCGGUGCACAUUCAAACGGAAAAAGUCGCACAUUUUCAAAAAACAAGUCUGAACGUCAGCCACAUCAACGAAUUUGAAACAACAUAUUGAGGUGAAGCAUCCGACCAGUCUUCUGAAAUGUCUGCAACUGAACGACGAUCACAGGAAAUCGUUAAGAAAGGGCUGCAGAACAAUUGGUCCUUCGGGGAUGGCAAUGUCUCGACCAUUCUUUCCUGAAGACCUAAAACUGAUGCGGUGGAGGCAGAUGUCCAGGACCCGAGGUAGAUGCAGUGGACUGUGCAGGAUUUGAGGCGGAUUCAGUGGGCUGUUGAGGCUCAGUAAGAUCUUCUCUUGUGUGGAUUCUGGAGGCAGGAUAACGUUCAGAAAGACUUCUACUACUAAGAAACCCACCCUGAAACAAUAAAAGUAAAGAAGACAUGUUCCCCCACAUCCCAAGUGGAAAUAGUACUAUUGUAUAUGACAUUAGAUGCUCAAGCUCUGUUUCCUCCUGCCUUUAUUUUUCUCUUCAUAAAAUGACAUUCUGUCUAUAAAGUGGGAACUCACCUGGCAGAAAACGAACUCAGUCUAAUUCAUUCAAACAAACACACUGGUCAUACUCAAAGGCAAAAUCCACAAAUACAGUCAAGAGCCCAUGUUUACCCGAGUGUACCUCAGAGGACUAAUCUUGUGUUCAAAGUUUUUCUUUUCUUUUCCUCAAGAAGCAGAGACCUAAAUUCUACUGUGUUACUUUGUGAUAAUUUUUAUCUGAUGUGUUUCCCAUUAUGAACAAGAAGGCGAUAUUAGAGACUAUUCAUUUGACUCUAUUAGACAAAUUUGAUCUGAGAUAUCUUCAAUUGAGAUUUAUUUAUCAGUAGUUUUUUUUUUGGAUUUGUCUUUCUUUUGUGAGUUAUUUGCUGAGGAAUAGGAUAUAACAAAUGUAAACACAAAGUAUGUCAUUUAUAUUUUAAGGAUAAGGUGUAGUGUGCUUAUCAGGUUAUUACCAGAGCACCAAAACACCCAAAAGUGUCCAAAGCUUUUGUUUAAUCUGAAUGUACCAUCUCUGCUGCUUUUUUCUUUGCAGCACCAUUUCCUGAUACACUGAAGAAGGAUUAAAGAUGUCUGCUGACAAUGAAA